CAGUCGCCGCGGUAAUACGUGGGUGGCAAGCGUUGUCCGGAAUUAUUGGGCGUAAAGGGCUCGCAGGCGGUUUCUUAAGUCUGAUGUGAAAGCCCCCGGCUCAACCGGGGAGGGUCAUUGGAAACUGGGAAACUUGAGUGCAGAAGAGGAGAGUGGAAUUCCACGUGUAGCGGUGAAAUGCGUAGAGAUGUGGAGGAACACCAGUGGCGAAGGCGACUCUCUGGUCUGUAACUGACGCUGAGGAGCGAAAGCGUGGGGAGCGAACAGGAUUAGAUACCCCUGUAGUCCCUGUCUCUUAUAA
rnacentral:rRNA from 1 species